AGUGAACGCUGGCGGCAGGCCUAACACAUGCAAGUCGAGCGGCAGCGCGGGGGCAACCCUGGCGGCGAGCGGCGGACGGGUGAGGAAUUCGUCGGAAUCUGCCUUUUUGUGGGGGAUAACGUAGGGAAACUUACGCUAAUACCGCAUACGUCCUACGGGAGAAAGUGGGGGACCGCAAGGCCUCACGCAGAAAGAUGAGCCGACGACCGAUUAGCUAGUUGGUGGGGUAAAGGCCCACCAAGGCGACGAUCGGUAGCCGGUCUGAGAGGAUGAUCAGCCACACUGGGACUGAGACACGGCCCAGACUCCUACGGGAGGCAGCAGUGGGGAAUAUUGGACAAUGGGCGCAAGCCUGAUCCAGCCAUGCCGCGUGUGUGAAGAAGGCCUUCGGGUUGUAAAGCACUUUUGUCCGGAAAGAAAUCCCUGGAGCUAAUACCUUCGGGGGAUGACGGUACCGGAAGAAUAAGCACCGGCUAACUUCGUG
rnacentral:rRNA from 1 species